rnacentral:rRNA from 1 species
GACAGAGGAUGCAAGCGCUAUCCGGAAUGAUUGGGCGUAAAGCGUCUGUAGGUGGCUUUUUAAGUCCGCCGUCAAAUCCCAGGGCUCAACCCUGGACAGGCGGUGGAAACUACCAAGCUGGAGUACGGUAGGGGCAGAGGGAAUUUCCGGUGGAGCGGUGAAAUGCGUAGAUAUCGGAAGGAACACCGGUGGCGAAAGCGGCGCGCUGGAUCCCUACUGACGCUGAGGCACGAAAGCCAGGGGAGCAAACGGGG